rnacentral:rRNA from 1 species
CGGCGCACAUAAGACAUGCAAGUCGAACGGAAGUCGUAUAAUUUGAAGUUGAUUGAAGAUUAUCGGAAAGAUGCAGAUUUUAUACAAUGGCUUUAGUGGCGGACUGGUGAGUAACGCGUGAGCAACCUGCCUAUUAGAGGGGAAUAACAGUGAGAAAUCAUUGCUAAUACCGCAUAUGCUGUGAAUAUCGCAUGAUAUAAACAGGAAAGGAGUAAUCCGCUAAUAGAUGGGCUCGCGUCUGAUUAGUUUGUUGGUGGGGUAACGGCCUACCAAGACGAUGAUCAGUAGCCGGACUGAGAGGUUGAACGGCCACAUUGGGACUGAGAUACGGCCCAGACUCCUACGGGAGGCAGCAGUCGGGAAUAUUGCGCAAUGGAGGAAACUCUGAACCGCAGUGACGCCGCGUAUAGGAUGAAGGUUUUCGGAUUGUAAACUAUUGUCAUAGGGGAAGAUAAAAGACUGUACCCUAAGAGGAGGCUCCGGCUAACUACGUGCCAGCCGCUGC